rnacentral:rRNA from 1 species
UGGGGAAUAUUGGACAAUGGGCGCAAGCCUGAUCCAGCCAUGCCGCGUGAGUGAUGAAGGCCCUAGGGUUGUAAAGCUCUUUCGACGGGGACGAUGAUGACGGUACCCGUAGAAGAAGCCCCGGCUAACUUCGUGCCAGCAGCCGCGGUAAUACGAAGGGGGCUAGCGUUGUUCGGAAUUACUGGGCGUAAAGCGCACGCAGGCGGUUCGCAUAGUCAGAAGUGAAAGCCCUGGGCUCAACCCGGGAAUUGCUUUUGAUACUAGCGGACUAGACUCAGGGAGAGGAUAGCGGAAUUCCGAGUGUAGAGGUGAAAUUCGUAGAUAUUCGGAAGAACACCAGUGGCGAAGGCGGCUAUCUGGCCCUCGAGUGACGCUCAUGUGCGAAAGCGUGGGGAGCAAACAGGAUUAGAUACCCCUGUAGUCC